GUUUGUGGGGGUGUGAGCAUUAGCUGCUCUAACCCCACACAUCCUGUCUCCUCUCAGUCUCAGAGGCAUCAGCAGAGGAAACUUCAUGCAGCGUCUCCCUGAGCACAGGAUGGACUUUCUGCUUCACAGGACGUGUCCUCUCUGAGGAGCUGCCCUCUGGGUAUGAAGAUGUGGAGGACAGUGAGGGAGACCCUCUCUCAGGUUCAGCUUUGAUGGUGACAGGAGAGACAGCAGAGGACUAUGAUGAUGUAGAUGGUAUAGAGCAGGGUCCACAUGUUAUACAGGGUGAGAGAGCCUUGACCACACUGCCCCCUGGGGACGGCCCCCCUGAACCCGACCAGACUGACUAUGAUGAUGUGGGGGAUGAGGGACUGACAGUCCUGCCUGAGGAAGCUCCUGUCCAAAUGUUUAAAUAAAAGGGGCAAAUUUUAUACAGACAUAUCACUAGUUCAGUUUUUCUGAAUUAAGCUCUUUGUGUUUUUGAGAUGGGCAAUGUCCUUUAUUAAUGACCAUAUCUUUGUAUUGUUAUUCAUGAAGAGA